GAUAAACGCUGGCGGCGCACAUAAGACAUGCAAGUCGAACGAACUUAAUUGAGAGCUUGCUCUCAAAGCGGUUAGUGGCGGACUGGUGAGUAACACGUAAGCAACCUGCCUAUUAGAGGGGAAUAACAGCGAGAAAUCGUUGCUAAUACCGCAUAUGCUGUGAGUAUCGCAUGAUACAAGCAGGAAAGGAGCAAUCUGCUAAUAGAUGGGCUUGCGUCUGAUUAGUUAGUUGGUGGGGUAACGGCCUACCAAGACGAUGAUCAGUAGCCGGACUGAGAGGUUGAACGGCCACAUUGGGACUGAGAUACGGCCCAGACUCCUACGGGAGGCAGCAGUCGGGAAUAUUGCGCAAUGGAGGAAACUCUGACGCAGUGACGCCGCGUGCAGGAAGAAGGUUUUCGGAUUGUAAACUGCUUUUAACAGGAAAGAAAAAAA
rnacentral:rRNA from 1 species